AGUUGGAAGAAUAGUAUCCAUCGUUGGUAUCAGUUGGAGGAAUAGUACCCAUCGUUGGUAUUAGUUGGAGGAAUAGUGCCCAUCGUUGAGCCGAAACCCAGAAGAAGCCAAGGAGAAAGCUGGCAUCAACGAGGUAUAUCACCGACGUAGGACUAUUGAAGCAGAGGUUGAUAUCACCGACGUAGGACUAUUGAAGCAGAGGUUGAUAUCACUGACGUAGGACUAUUGAAGCAGAGGUUGAUAUCACUGACGUAGGACUAUUGAAGCAGAGGUUGAUAUCGCUGACGUAGGACUAUUGAAGCAGAGGUUGAUAUCACCGACGUAGGACUAUUGAAGCAGAGGUUGAUAUCACCGACGUAGGACUAUUGAAGCAGAGGUUGAUAUCACUGACGUAGGACUAUUGAAGCAGAGGUUGAUAUCACCGACGUAAGACUAUUGAAGCAGAGGUUGAUAUCACCGACGUAAGACUAUUGAAGCAGAGGUUGAUAUCACCGACGUAAGACUAUUGAAGCAGAGGUUGAUAUCACUGACGUAGGACUAUUGAAGCAGAGGUUGAUAUCACCGACGUAGGACUAUUGAAGCAGAGGUUGAUAUCACCGACGUGGGACUAUUGAAGCAGAGGUUGAUAUCACUGACGUAGGACUAUUGAAGCAGAGGUUGAUAUCACCGACGUAGGACUAUUGAAGCAGAGGUUGAUAUCACCGACGUGGGACUAUUGAAGCAGAGGUUGAUAUCACUGACGUAGGACUAUUGAAGCAGAGGUUGAUAUCACUGACGUAGGACUAUUGAAGCAGAUGUUGAUAUCACCGACGUAGGACUAUUGAAGCAGAGGUUAUCACUGAUGUAGGACUAUUGAAGCAGAGGUUGAUAUCACUGAUGUAGGACUGUUGAAGCAGAGGUUGAUAUCACAGACGUAGGACUAUUGAAGCAGGCUGUAGUUCUGCUUCAAGUGUGAGUAAAGGUGUCUAUACAAUAUUAAAUUUAUUGCUUCAACUGAUCAUUGGAUAGGCAGCCCAUAAUUACAUUUGGCCAUUCAUGUACAGUUGAUGAUCAAAUUUCGAAAGAUUUAACCACUUGGCUUAUCUUGGUGGUAAUAAUGGAAACAGUUAAUGAUGUAGGUUGGAGGUAAUGGAAACCAUCAAUAUGUCAAGGAAUGGCGUGGUCAUGUUCUUCCAUCUCAUCUGUUCUGAAGGUCCUGGAUGGGGAGUAGGGACACAAAUUUGGAGCCAGAAAUGUGUGUAUACAUAUAUAUGUUUAUAAAGUAAUAGGUGUGCCUAUGCUUUAAAUGCAGAUUUUAAGCUCUAUGUUAAAUUCAUGGAAUUGGCAAUGGACAUUCUGUUGACGGUCCUUGAAGACUUGUGUAUCAAGAAUAAAAUCCAGUCUUUAUUGUGUGUUUUUAAUGACUCUAAGCUGUAGAUUUAAAACACAGAUGCACAGCCUACCUAUGUAACAUCUUCAGGGCUUGUUCACACCAAGUCCAUUGAGUUGUGUUUUUUGGCACACCAACGCACAUCCAUGGCGUGACUUGAUAUCCACGUGCUCUGUUCACACUCGAGAUAUGCGGAGGUGUGCAGAAAAACAAAACUCAACAGACAUAGUGUUAACAAGCCCCUAAGGGGGGAUCUGUUGGAGAGGUUCAAGCCUUUCAUGAAAUCUUCAGUUGGAAACGGCCAUCUCCUGAAUACCAGUCGACAUACACGAUCUGUGUCAAUGAAGCUAAAUCUGUUAAUGGUGUACAAUCCAGAAUGGCUACAUCACGCCACACAUUUCCCUUUAAUAGGCUGGUAGGGCAUGCCUUUACUGAUUAGAAAAAAAAAGUUUAUGUACCAUGAAGGAUCGAUGAACCAGGGGGCAAAUGUUUUGUGCGGUUUUCUUUUUUUUCUUUAGACUUGUCUUGAUUUUUCCUAAUAUAUUUUGUAACCCACCUUCUUUGCACAACGUACAGUUAAACGAACCUUACAACGCAAUCACCCUGAUCUCUCUGUACAGAUAUGAAUGGGAAGGUGUGUAAUUAUUAAUUUAUUUGGUAAAAGGCCAUUUCUCUUUGUGAUUUUCCUGUGUAAAUAGUUUGUUUAUAUAGUAUGUAUUAAAUUUUCCUACAAUGUAAAACUGCUGUACUUUUCAUUCUUGUACAUUAAAACGUGAUUGAGUUUUUCAAACA